rnacentral:tRNA from 1 species
GGGCCUAUAGCUCAGUUGGUUAGAGCACUUGACUCAUAAUCAAGGGGUCCCUGGUUCGAGCCCAGGUGGGCCCA